UACAGAGGUCUCAAGCGUUGUUCGGAUUCAUUGGGCGUAAAGGGUGCGUAGGCGGCGCGGUAAGUCGGGUGUGAAAUCUUGGAGCUUAACUCCGAAACUGCAUUCGAUACUGCCGUGCUUGAGGACUGGAGAGGAGACUGGAAUUUACGGUGUAGCGGUGAAAUGCGUAGAGAUCCGGAGGAACACCGAAGGCGAAGGCAGUGUCCUGGCUGGUGACUGACGCUGAGGUGCGAAAGCUAGGGGAGCGAACGGG
rnacentral:rRNA from 1 species